CCCAAAAUUGAAAGCUGGCGUCUUUGGCGUCUGCAUUGUAAUCUCAAGAAGUGUUUUCCGYUUUGGACCAUGCCUAAGUCCCUUGGAAAAGGGCAUCAUAGAGGGUGAUAAUCCCGUACAUGGCAUGGAGCGCCCGAAGCUUUGUGAUACACUUUCUAAGAGUCGAGUUGUUUGGGAAUGCAGCUCAAAAUGGGUGGUAAAUGCCAUCUAAGGCUAAAUAUUGGGGAGAGACCGAUAGCGAACAAGUACAGUGAUGGAAAGAUGAAAAGAACUUUGAAAAGAGAGUUAAACAGUACGUGAAAUUGCCAAAAGGGAAGGGUAGGAGGUCAGAGAUGCGGUCUGGGAUUCAGCCUUGCUUUUGCUGGGUGUUUUUCUCAGAUUGCAGGCCAACGUCGGUUUUGGGCGCUGGAGAAGGGUGGAAGGAAUGUGGCACCUCUCGGGGUGUGUUAUAGCCUUCUACUGGAUACAGUGACCGAGACCGAGGACAGCAGCGUACUCGCAAGAGCGGGCCUUCGGGCACCUUUACGCUUAGGGCGUUGGCAUAAUGGCCCUCUACCACCCGUCUUGAAACACGGACCAAGGAGUCU
rnacentral:rRNA from 1 species